rnacentral:pre_miRNA from 1 species
UCUAUUACACUGGCCGUAAAAUAAGUUGAACAAUUUUGAGGUGUUCCAAGGAGAUGGGAUGGUCUCAACCUUCCAUAACAUAUAUACAUCUCCCGGAGUAGUAGAACAUUAGUUGUUCGUGAACUAAUGUUCUACUACUCUAGGAGAUGUAUACUUGUUAUGGAAGGCCGAGACCAUCUCAUCCCCUUGGAACACCUCAAAAUUAUUCAAACUUAUUUUACGGCCAGUGUAAUAGC